UACGGGGGAUGCAAGCGUUAUCCGGAAUUAUUGGGCGUAAAGAGUUCGUAGGUUGUUGUCAAAGCCUAUUGUUAAAUCUCAAGGCUUCACCUUGAAUCAGCAGUAGGGACCUGGCAACUAGAGUGCGGUAGAGGUAGGGGGAAUUCCCGGUGUAGCGGUGAAAUGCGUAGAUAUCGGGAAGAACACCGGAGGCGAAAGCGCCCUACUGGGCCGACACUGACACUGAGGAACGAAAGCUAGGGUAGCAAAUGGG
rnacentral:rRNA from 1 species